rnacentral:sRNA from 1 species
GCCAUUAUCCUACCGGACCGACGGCUAGUUAGUUAUAAACAGAACUGAACAUCAAUAGAAAGAUGCCUCUUCCUGCUACCACCUGUCUUAGACCAGGAGCGCCUUCCCGCUUCUGUCGCCUUCGGCCCGCAUUCCCCUACCAUUGACCGCCUUAGCUGACUUUGAUACAUCGCCAUCGCUAGCUUGUAUCGAAGAAGCAGCUAUGGGGGACAAGUUUCUCUCCUUCUGUCCCCUUAUACGCAGUGCGAUGCAUCUCUGAUAAAAGCGAAAUCAACACCUUUCACCAUUUAUGAUCUACGAUACAUUCCGAAACAGAUGCCAG